rnacentral:rRNA from 1 species
GACGAACGCUGGCGGCGUGCUUAACACAUGCAAGUCGAACGGAAAGGCCCUGCUUUUGUGGGGUGCUCGAGUGGCGAACGGGUGAGUAACACGUGAGUAACCUGCCCUUGACUUUGGGAUAACUUCAGGAAACUGGGGCUAAUACCGGAUAGGAGCUCCUGCUGCAUGGGGGGGGUUGGAAAGUUUCGGCGGUUGGGGAUGGACUCGCGGCUUAUCGGCUUGUUGGUGGGGUAGUGGCUUACCAAGGCUUUGCCGGGUAGCCGGCCUGAGAGGGUGACCGGCCACAUUGGGACUGAGAUACGGCCCAGACUCCUACGGGAGGCAGCAGUGGGGAAUAUUGCACAAUGGGCGGAAGCCUGAUGCAGCAACGCCGCGUGCGGGAUGACGGCCUUCGGGUUGUAAACCGCUUUCGCCUGUGACGAAGCGUGAGUGACGGUAAUGGGUAAAGAAGCACCGGCUAACUACGUG